UGAUAAGUAAUGGGCAUGUAAGUCGAUACCGCCAGCUGUGACGAUCAAGCCUUCACCAGAAAUGGCUUCGGUACUUGCGCCAACGACGAAAUCAAUAUCAUCCAUGAUAUCUGGGUUGCCGCCUUUCCCGAUGGCUAAGAUCUUGCCAUCACGGAUCCCGAUAUCAGCUUUAUAAAUACCUGUAUAGUCAAUAAUGAGGGCCCCAGAAAUGAUCGUAUCAGCGACCAUUGGGUUACUUUCACGAGUCAUUGUUGCAUUGACGCCCAUGCCAUCUCG
rnacentral:sRNA from 1 species